UUGAGGAAGACACACCACCAUCACCAUAGGAGGGGGCUGGUGUCCAGUCGCUGUCAGACUUGUUGUCGUCUCUGGAUCACAGCGUCGAAGCCAGAAAGAGGAAGAACGUGGAGGUUCUGUGGAUCGCUGCUGUGGUGAGACUUGACUCUGUGAAAUAAAAUCUGUAAAAAAAUGAAUUUAAAAUAAUGAAAGGUUGGACUUGAAAGUGUUUUUAUGAAACAAUAACAUCUUAAAGUGCUGCCCUUGUUAACAAAUCAUCUGUCAGUCCUUGAAUUUCUCCAAACAAGACCUUAAAGCAGGACGUGGCUCCCACAGCGUUUGCCCGCCAAAGCUCCAAGAAGACACCUUUACCCAGUGGCCUUUCUCCUGGUGACCUCUCACCUCCUGGUUCUUUGGCUCAUCUUCAGCCUGGUUAUACUGCUGGCCAAAUACCAGUAGACCAGCACAAACAGACUGGGAACACUGGGCACAAAGUGGGCUACUUCACUGGGGAUUGUGUAUUUAUACAUGGUUUUUGGACCCUGGUAUUUGUUUGUAUUACUGCUUGUGAGCAUCACACCGUUCGUUUGUUUUCUGUUAAUAAUGACCCCUCUGUACUGUUCACUGUGGCUGCAGAUGUUUGAUUUUCAAACGUGUUUCUGCAAUAAAUGAAUACUUGAGAGCUA